GUUUUGCAAGGUGGUUUCAAAGUUUCCCAAACAAGCCUUUGGGUUCGGCAUGCUUUCAUAUGAUGGGAAGACUUCAGACUGAACAGAACAGAAUGUAAAUUUCAGUACAAAGAAAGAACAUCCUCAAGAUUCCUGCAACUCUGAAGAUUGCCUUGCCGUACUUUCCAGUCCAGAGAGAGAGAGAGAGAGAGAAUUUUUGCAAAUCUGUUAAAAGGACCAAGACCAGCAAUGACAUGAGAUAGAGAGGUGCCACGGAAUGAAGAACAUGUUGGACUACAAGAUCUUAGUGGUGUGUGUUUGAUGGUUGUAGCUUUUUGUUUCUUUGGUGUGUUAUUAUCUUUGUUGGUGUUUUUGCAGGAUUUGUCGUCUAUUUAUUCAUGAGAGCAGGAACGUUUGUCUGUGUGUUUGUGUUUGUUAGUCUGUUUUAUUUUUUUUUUGCCUGAAAAAAUCGUAGGUUCAAUUCCGCCUUCCACCAUUGUGUCCUUGAGCAAGGCACUUAACCCUGAGUUGCUCUGCGGACACUGACCCUUGUAAUGUAAUUGAUAUAUAUAAGUCGCUUUGGCGAAAACCGUCUGCUAAACUAAUAAAUGUAAAAUAUCUCUCGAA